rnacentral:rRNA from 1 species
CCACGGGAAUUUCGAUUAACUGCGAAGAACCUUACCUUGCCCUUUGACAUCCUCGGAACUUGUCAGAGAUGACUUGGUGCACUUCGGGGAACACGAGAGACAGGUGCCUGCAUGGCUGUCGUCAGCUCGUGUCGUGAGAUGUUGGGUUAAGUCCCGUAACGAGCGCAACCUUGUCCACUAGUUGCCAGCGCGUCAUGGCGGGAACUNCUAGGGAGACUGCCAGGUGACAAACACGGAGGAAGGUGGGGAUGACAGUCAAGUCAUCAUGGCCCUUAUGGGCAGGGCUACACACGUGCUACAAUGGCCAGUACAGAGGGUUGCCAACCCGCGAGGGGGAGCUAAUCCCAGAAAGCUGGUCGUAGUCCAGGAUCGCAGUCUGCAACUCGACUGCGUGAAGUCGGAAUCGCUAGUAAUCGCAAAUCAGAUGUCGCCAG